AAAAACAAAGAAUUAUGGAAAAAUUACACAUGGACUGACAUAGAGGAGGAUCUACACAAGUUUUUUACAUCAUGUUUUACAUCAUGCAUCAUUUACAUCAUGUUUUUUUGUAGUGGCAUAAAUAAAAAGUGACAUUUGUGAGACUAUACAGUGAUUUGUAAAUAAUUUUACAAAGAACGCCUGGGCCAUUGCCUGCAUUUUGAUGUAAAUAGAGGUAAAUUACUAUGUUCUUUGUUAAAAAUUUGCAUAUGUUUUGAAGUUUACAAUUUUUAUUUGAAGUUUAAGUUUUAAAAACAGUUCAUCACACAUAUUUGUGGUUUAAUUUCACAUUAAUUUCCAUAUUGUAUAAAUGACUGGAAAAAACUUGAGCCCCUGCCCCUGUAUAAUCAUGUGCACGUCCCUGUUCUAGCUCCAAGGUGAAUCUUCACUGCUCAUGUUCUCCUCAGAAAUAGUCACCUCACUCCCCUCAGGUUACUGUACACAUGCACCAACUAUCUGCUUCAGGUUUGAAAUGGAGCUUCAUGGUUGUCUUUUGGAGAAAUGACCAGUCAAGUUGUGUUUGAAAUUUGAUUUUUUUCAGGGGCAAAAGGAAGCCUCUGCAUUCUUGUCAAAUAUGUAAACAGCAUGUUGCAGGUGCUAAAAAACAGACUCUGAGUGUGUGUGUGUGUCUGUGUGUGUGUGUGUGUGUGUGUGUGUGUGUAUGUUGGCGUGUGUGUAUAUGUGUGUGUAUCCUGCAGUACUCUGUACUCCUGCAGUGGCCAAAAUGACUUUUAAGAAUGUGGAUUUUUGGGUCAUCUUUGGCGCCCCCUAGAACUGCAGUACUCUGUACUCCUGCAGUGGCCAAAAUGACUUUUAAGAAUGUGGAUUUUUGGGUCAUCUUUGGCGCCCCCUAGAACGUAAACCGUGGGGUGCAGCGUCAUGAUUUUUACAACUUUGAAUGGGCAUGGGGUGUAGAUUGCCCUGAGCAAAUUUGGUAUCGGUGGGACGAAAGCCUUAGGAGGAGAUAGCCACAUUCCAAUGUGUGCGAAUCGGCAAAAAAUGCAAAAUAGCCCUUUAACCGUACAUUAUACAGAUACGCGCUCUUUGACUUUUUCGUAGAUCUAAUUGAGAUACACAUGAUUGUCAAUUUUUGUGUCAAUAUGACAAAGCGUUCAGGCGUGACACUCAACAAUGUGUAUUUUUAUGUAAGGGGACAAGAAAAAAUCGACUUUUUUCCUCUACCAUGGGGGGCGCUCUUUUGGGGAGUAAAAAUUCCUUCACAAAUGUGUUGAUGGCUGGACAUUGCAUCAUCCUAGAAAACUUGGAGGCCAGUGAGGACAAAAAUAAAAAGUUAUAAAACAUUUAAGAAUGUGGAUUUUUGGGUUAUUUUUGGCGCCCCCUAGAACCUAAACCAUGGGGUGCAGCAUCAUGAUUUGAAUAACUUUUAAUGGCCAUGGGGUGUAGAUUGGCCUGAGCAAAUGUGGUGCCGGUGGAACGAAAGCCUUCGGAGGAGUUAGCGAAAUUCCAAUGUGUGCGUAUCGGCAAAAAAUGCGGAAUAACCCUUUAACUGUACAUUUGACAGAUACGCGCGCAUGGACUUUUUUGUAGAUCUUAUUGAGUUACAUGUGUGUGUCAAUUUUUGUGUCAUUUUGACAAAGCGUAUAGGCGUGACACUCAACAAUGUGUAUUUUCACCUUAGGGGACAAGAAAAAAUGGACUUUUUUCUCCUGCCAUGGGGGGGCGCUCUUUGGGGGAGUAAAAAUUCCUUCACAAAUGUGUUGAUGGCUGGACAUUGCAUCAUCCUAGAAAACUUGGAGGCCAGUGAGGACAAAAAUAAAAAGUUAUAAGACUUUUAAAUAUGUGGAUUUUAGUGUUAUCUUUGGCGCCCCCUAGAACCUAAACCUUGGGGUGCAGCGUCAUGAUUUUGAUAACUUUUAAUGGCCACGGGGUGUAGAUUGGCCUGAGCAAAUGUGGUGCCGGUGGAACGAAAGCCUUCGGAGGAGUUAGCGAAAUUCCAAUGUGUGCGGAUCGGCAAAAAAUGCGAAAUAACCCUUUAACCGUAAUUUUGACAGAUACGGCCGCACUGACUUUUUUGUAGAUCUUAUUGAGAUACAUAUGUGUGUCAAUUUUUGUGUCAAUAUGACAAAGCGUACAGGCGUGACAGUCAAUAGUGUGAAUUUCCACCUUAGGGGGCGCUAUGGAGCCAUUUUGCAUUUUAUUGUUUGGACGACUUCAGAAUAUCGAAUUUUUCACCAGGCCCGGUCGUCCUGCCAAAUUUCAUGAGUUUUCGCCAGUGGGAAGUGGGCCAUUUUCCAGUUCAAAGGGGAGGAAAAAGAAGAAAGAAAGAAAGAAAGAAAGAAACAAAGAAAAACCACUUGGGGAAUAAUAGGGCCUACGCCCGGCUGCUCUGCAGCUGGCUCGGGCCCUAAUAAUAAUAACUAGGACCCCGUUGGGGCACUGGCGGGCCCGAGCUGUGUCGCGUCCCCCCCCCAACGCGCUGCCUCCCCGUCCCAUUUGUGUCCUCUGGCCAUCGCCCUCUCUGGUAACGCCCAUCACUGCAAAGACCCUUUUCCUUCAUCGGCGUUUGCUGUUCUUCCUGCCAGUGCGUGUUGCUUUCACUUACACUUGCCACAGCCAGCCUCUUGAGUGCCUAGCCUAUUGGAUAUCACUGUCACCUACUCAGGACAGUCAUUACCUUUCUAUUAAUACUUUGUUUUUUAAUUUCACAUUAAUUUCCAUAUUGUAUAAACAACUGGAAAAAACUUGAGCCCCUGCCCCUGUAUAAUCAUGUGCACGUCUCUGUUCUAGCUGUAAGGUGAAUCUUCACUGCUCAUGUUCUCCUCAGAAGCAGUCACCUCACUCCCCUCAGGUUACUGUACACAUGCACCAACUGCCUGCUUCAGGUUUGGAUGGAGCUUCAUGGUUGUCUUUUGGAGAAAUGACCAGUCAAGUUGUGUUUGAAAUUUGAUUUUUUUCAGGGGCAAAAGGAGCCUCUGCAUUCUUGUCAAAUAUGUAAAUAGCAUGUUUUUGCAGGUGCUAAAAACCAGACUCUGAGUGUGUGUGUGUGUGUGUGUGUGUGUGUGUGUGUGUGUGUGUGUGCGUGUGUGUGUGUCUGUGUGUGCGUUCAAGUCACAUGACAUAUUUAACCGGAUGUAGCUGCAAGACGGAGCCUCGUUGACUCUCCGUUUCAACUUAUCUCAAAAGUGAGGACCUCAACCUAUAUACCAGUUUUUAAAUUGUGUUGAUAGGCCAAAUAAAACCAGAGUUAUGAUAAAUUAUGUCCGCGAUACUUUUUUUCUGCUUAUUUUGAUCACGUUCGGCGCUCAAUCGCGCUGUAUGAGACAGGAAAACAUAGCAUGCAGACAUUAGCGACAGGUCUUACAGGCGGAAAAGGCUUGCCAAAAGAAAAAAAAAAACACACCACAACAUCUCUCCUAUUGGUGGAAAACUUCACCACAACAACCAAUCCAAAAUUAUAUGGUGACUGAUUGACAAGGGGCGGGCGCUUACGUUCUUCCUGCAAUAUGAGAAGGGAGGGAGGGACUCUCAGCAGGGAUGCAGUCUGGGACACGUAGUUGCAAACCUAGAGACUUUGUUGUUAGAUUCAAUGACUUUUCAGACCCCCUAACGACUUUUUUUUAGAAAGAAAGGGACUUUUAUCGACUUCUUCUGGAGUUUAGAGACUCUGACAUGAAGCAGGCUUUCCUUACUGAGGCGUUAGCAACGCUGCUAAGGGUGCAGAGCCACACAUGCGCUCAGAGCUCUGCAUGGGAGACUAAAGCUGACAGAGCUGCAGCAGUUAGCAGGUUUCACCCUCAGAGACCACCAGGGGUUCAUGUUGAGGCAUUUUAAUUUUUUUUUUUUUUGUGCCAUAGACACUGUCAGCACAAUCUGCAGUUACACUAACAAAAAUGCUGCAAAAAACAAAGAAUUAUGGAAAAAUUACACAUGGACUGACAUAGAGGAGGAUCUACACAAGUUUUUUACAUCAUGUUUUACAUCAUGCAUCAUUUACAUCAUGUUUUUUUGUAGUGGCAUAAAUAAAAAGUGACAUUUGUGAGACUAUACAGUGUUUUGUAAAUAAUUUUACAAAGAACGCCUGGGCCAUUGCCUGCAUUUUGAUGUAAAUAGAGGUAAAUUACUAUGUUCUUUGUUAAAAAUUUGCAUAUGUUUUGAAGUUUACAAUUUUUAUUUGAAGUUUAAGUUUUAAAAACAGUUCAUCACACAUAUUUGUGGUUUUCACAGUAAAAAUGUUACUUUUUUCCACUCGGAUUUUAUGUUUUGUGUGUGAAUUUGGGUCCAUUGUGUAAAUUCAGUAUGUCAACAUGAUAAAAUAACUGUAAAUUCGCACAGGUGAGGUUGUGCUGAAAAAAAUGAUACCAGGCAAGGCACGUGAUUGUCAAAUUUUGUGUCAAUAUGACAAAGCGUAUAGGCGUGAAUCUCAACAAUAUGUAUUUUCACCUUAGGGGACAAGAAAAAAUGGACAUUUUUCUCCUGCCAUGGGGGGCGCUCUUUUGGGGAGUAAAAAUUCCUUCACAAAUGUGUUGAUGGCUGGACAUUGCAUCAUCCUAGAAAACUUGGAGGCCAGUGAGGACAAAAAUAAAAAGUUAUAAGACUUUUAAAUAUGUGGAUUUUAGGGUUGUCUUUGGCGCCCCCUAGAACCUAAACCAUGGGGUGCAGCGUCAUGAUUUGAAUAACUUUUAAUGGCCAUGGGGUGUAGAUUGGCCUGAGCAAAUGUGGUGCCGGUGGACAGAAAGCCUUCGGAGGAGUUAGCGAAAUUCCAAUGUGUGUGGAUCGGCAAAAAAUGCGGAAUAACCCUUUAACCGUACAUUUGACAGAUACGCGCGCGUUGACUUUUUCGUAGAUCUUAUUGAGUUACAUGUGUGUGUCAAUUUUUGUGUCAUUUUGACAAAGCGUAAAGGCGUGACACUCAACAAUGUGUAUUUUCACCUUAGGGGACAAGAAAAAAUGGACUUUUUUCUCCUGCCAUGGGGGGGCGCUCUUUUGGGGAGUAAAAAUUCCUUCACAAAUGUGUUGAUGGCUGGACAUUGCAUCAUCCUAGAAAACUUGGAGGCCAGUGAGGACAAAAAUAAAAAGUUAUACGACUUUUAAAUAUGUGGAUUUUAGGGUUGUUUUUGGCGCCCCCUAGAACCUAAACCGUGGGGUGCAGCAUCAUGAUUUGAAUAACUUUUAAUGGCCAUGGGGUGUAGAUUGGCCUGAGCAAAUGUGGUGCCGGUGGACAGAAAGCCUUCGGAGGAGUUAGCGAAAUUCCAAUGUGUGCGGAUCGGCAAAAAAUGCGGAAUAACCCUUUAACCGUACAUUUGACAGAUACGCCCGCACUGACUUUUUUGUAGAUCUUAUUGAGAUACAUAUGUGUGUCAAUUUUUGUGUCAUUUUGACAAAGCGUAAAGGCGUGACAGUCAAUAGUGUGAAUUUUCACCUUAGGGGGCGCUAUGGAGCCAUUUUGCAUUUUCUUGUUUGGGCGACUUCGGAAUAUCAAAUUUUUCACCAGGCCCGGUCAUCCUGCCAAAUUUCAUGAGUUUUCGCCAGUGGGAAGUGGGCCAUUUUCCAGUUCAAAGGGGAGGAAAAAGAAGAAAGAAAGAAACAAAGAAAAACCUCUUGGGGAAUAAUAGGGCUCUCGCAGCUGCUUAGCAGCUACGCUCGGGCCCUAAUAACAAAAGAAGGAAACUACAGGAACAAGAGGGCUCUCGCAGCUGCUUAGCAGCUACGCUCGGGCCCUAAUAAUAACAAAAGAAGAAUCCAUCAGGAACAAGAGGGCUCUCGCAGCUGCUUAGCAGCUACGCUCGGGCCCUAACUAGGACCCCGUUGGGGCACUGGCGGGCCCGAGCCGUGUUGCGCCCCCCCCCCAACGUGCUGCCUCCCCGUCCCAUUUGUGUCCUCUGGCCAUCGCCCUCUCUGGUAACGCCCAUCACUGCAAAGACCCUUUUCCUUCAUCGGCGUUUGCUGUUCUUCCUGCCAGUGCGUGUUGCUUUC
rnacentral:lncRNA from 1 species